rnacentral:rRNA from 1 species
CAGUAGCCGCGGGAAAACGGAGGGUGCAAGCGUUAAUCGGAAUUACUGGGCGUAAAGCGCACGCAGGCGGUCUGUCAAGUCAGAUGUGAAAUCCCCGGGCUUAACCUGGGAACUGCAUUUGAAACUGGCAGGCUAGAGUCUUGUAGAGGGGGGUAGAAUUCCAGGUGUAGCGGUGAAAUGCGUAGAGAUCUGGAGGAAUACCGGUGGCGAAGGCGGCCCCCUGGACAAAGACUGACGCUCAGGUGCGAAAGCGUGGGGAGCAAACAGGAUUAGAUACCCGCGUAGUCCCUGUCCUUAUACA